rnacentral:rRNA from 1 species
GAUGAACGCCGGCGGUGUGCCUAAUACAUGCAAGUCGUACGCACUGGCCCAACUGAUUGAUGGUGCUUGCACCUGAUUGAUGAUGGAUCACCAGUGAGUGGCGGACGGGUGAGUAACACGUAGGUAACCUGCCCCGGAGCGGGGGAUAACAGUUAGAAAUGACUGCUAAUACCGCAUAAGCGCACAGUGCUGCAUGGCACAGUGUGAAAAACUCCGGUGGUAUGAGAUGGACCCGCGUCUGAUUAGCUAGUUGGUGGGGUAACGGCCUACCAAGGCGACGAUCAGUAGCCGGCCUGAGAGGGUGAACGGCCACAUUGGGACUGAGACACGGCCCAA